rnacentral:rRNA from 1 species
GAAGCGGCAACAGCUCAAAUUUGAAAUCUGGCGCAAGCCCGAGUUGUAAUUUGUAGAGGAUGCUUCAGGGCAGCGGCCGGUCUAAGUUCCUUGGAACAGGACGUCAUAGAGGGUGAGAAUCCCGUAUGCGACCGGUUGGCACCCGUCACGUAGCUCCUUCGACGAGUCGAGUUGUUUGGGAAUGCAGCUCUAAAUGGGAGGUAAAUUUCUUCUAAAGCUAAAUACCGGCCAGAGACCGAUAGCGCACAAGUAGAGUGAUCGAAAGAUGAAAAGCACUUUGGAAAGAGAGUUAAAAAGCACGUGAAAUUGUUGAAAGGGAAGCGCAUGCAACCAGACUUGUCGGCGGUGUUCCGCCGGUCUUUUGACCGGUCUAUUCGCCGCCGGCAGGCCAGCAUCAUCUGGGCGCGCCGGAUAAAGGCGUGGGGAAUGUAGCUCCUCGGAGUGUUAUAGCCCUGCGCACAAUACGGCGUCGCCCGGGUGAGGUCCGCGCUUCGGCUAGGAUGCUGGCGUAAUGGUUGUCUGCGGCCCGUCUUGAAACACGGACCAAGGAGUCUAACAUCUAUGCGAGUGUUCGGGUGUCAAACCCCUACGCGUAAUGAAAGUGAACGGAGGUGGGAAGCGCAAGCUGCACCAUCGACCGAUCCUGAUGUCUUCGGAUGGAUUUGAGUAAGAGCAUAGCUGUUGGGACCCGAAAGAUGGUGAACUAUGCCUGAAUAGGGUGAAGCCAGAGGAAACUCUGGUGGA